GUUUGUGUUUUGUUGGAGAAUUGGUGCUGGUAUGCUGAUAGAUUUGAAGCUUGAGAACGGAGAGGGCUUUGAUGGGUAGCCUAACAUAGUCAACGAGGGAGAGCUGUUUUGGGUCAAGAGAAGACAUCAGAGUGAGUGAAGCAAAAGGUCAGUCAAUUUAUGUGAAAGAUAUUUUUAUGUUCGGAAACUAAAAUUUUGAGUAAAAGCAUAUGAAUUAAGAUUCCAAUAUUUCAAAAAGUAAAUAGGAAGUAUAGGUAGAUUUGCGAAUACCUAAAUUUGUUUGUUUAGCUUGUUUUAUCAAAGUCAUCGGGAACAAACCGAUAAAUUGUUAUUUUAACUAGAAUAAAUUUAAGUGGUAAAAAUUUCAUUCGGACAGCUGUGUCCACAGGUUUUAAAUUUGAUCGAUUUUUAGAGUAUUGAUUUUGAUAAUAAAAUUCUGUAUGCUUAUUUUA